UACGUAGGUGGCAAGCGUUGUCCGGAUUACUGGGCGUAAAGAGCGCGCAGGCGGUCGUUCAAGUCGCGUGUGAAAGCCCCCGGCUCAACUGGGGAGGGUCACGCGAUACUGAUCGACUCGAAGGCAGGAGAGGGUAGUGGAAUUCCCGGUGUAGUGGUGAAAUGCGUAGAUAUCGGGAGGAACACCAGUGGCGAAGGCGACUACCUGGCCUGUUCUUGACGCUGAGGCGCGAAAGCUAGGGGAGCAAACGGG
rnacentral:rRNA from 1 species